rnacentral:rRNA from 1 species
AUUGAACGCUGGCGGCAUGCCUUAUACAUGCAAGUCGAACGGUAACAGGUCUUCGGAUGCUGACGAGUGGCGAACGGGUGAGUAAUACAUCGGAACGUGCCUAGUAGUGGGGGAUAACUACUCGAAAGAGUGGCUAAUACCGCAUGAGAUCUACGGAUGAAAGCAGGGGAUCGCAAGACCUUGUGCUACUAGAGCGGCCGAUGGCAGAUUAGGUAGUUGGUGGGAUAAAAGCUUACCAAGCCGACGAUCUGUAGCUGGUCUGAGAGGACGAUCAGCCACACUGGGACUGAGACACGGCCCAGACUCCUACGGGAGGCAGCAGUGGGGAAUUUUGGACAAUGGGCGCAAGCCUGAUCCAGCAAUGCCGCGUGCAGGAUGAAGGCCUUCGGGUUGUAAACUGCUUUUGUACGGAACGAAAAGCCCCGGGUUAAUACCCUGGGGUCAUGACGGUACCGUGAGAAUAAGCACCGGCUAACUACGUGCCAGCCGCCGCCGUAA